rnacentral:lncRNA from 1 species
UGGGUCUGAAUGCAAUCAUGGACAAACAGAGAUCUUUCAAGGUCUUUUAAAAAAUAAGAUAAAAGGAUUACGGGGAAACAAAGUCCUUGAGGGCCAAGGGGUAGAACUAUGCCACCAGAGUGCUAAGGGUUGAGUUGGAUGUAGAAACUGAAAGUCGGUACUGCUCUAAACGAAUCGAUUUUAAUCAGAUUCUAAAAAAAAACUUUGUGUUACCAUUUCAGACAAGAGCCUUUAUGCUGAAGACACCCAUGCCUGCCCAUCGCCCACUACUAAUACCAGGAAAUAAUAUAUUCGAUACAGAGCUUGGAAUGUACAUGAAAGUAGUCCUCGAAAUGGAGAAAAUGUAUAACGAUGUUGGUGAUCUGGACGUUGAUAUGCAAUGACUGCACCAUCAAGUGGCCCAUGCGACACCAAGCCAAAGCCUGUUACACGCGGAACCCAGCAGAACGCAGCCCUCCUCCCGCCCAACCGACCGAGGGGCGCUGCCGCAUGACGCGAGGCGCGAUUAACCGAACCGGUCGCAAGCAUGCAGGAAAGAUAGAGUUUAGGCUAAUAUUCGAGGAAAAUUAGAGCUAAACACAACUAGACUAGAGCUACUAUAGCUAAGCAAGCAAAAAUCAGAAACAAGACAAAACUAAAAUGAAACUAACUACGGGAGAGGUAGGCUAGUAUAAGCGAUUUAAGAAGACUACCACAUUAUAUCCUCAACUAACUCCCUUCAGUUGAGGAUAUAAUGUGGUAGAGGGAAUUAUAAUCCGAGCAUAAAACCCGAAAGGGUUCGUGUGAGGCAUAAUUCGGUCUAGAUAGUGGAAGGAACAAAGGAAUAAAGUUUCUAGUGGGUCUAAUGGGAAUCGUACAGUUUAUGCGGCUCAGCAAGUCAGGGCUGUCUACAUCCCCCUUGAUCAAGUUGUGCUUAAAAAUUACAAAAAACAUUUUUCUACGACUAACUAAGGAUGGAAGAUUUAUUAAAAGACGUCUACUACGGUAGGAUGGCAGUCUUACAGUUGCAUCCCAGUUGAGGCCCCGUAGGGCAAAUAAUAAAAAGUUUUUCUGUACUGAUUCAAUACGGUCCUGAUGUAUGUUGUACUGAGGCACCAUACACAUGAGCCGUAUUCUAAAAUCGGACGAACAAGCGAGAUAUAGAGAGUCUUCGUUAUAUAGGGGUCAUCAAAUUCCUUUGACCACCUCUUUAUAAACCCAAGCACACCCAUGGCUUUAUUUACCAUGGUAGAAAUGUGUUCAGAAAACUUUAACUUGGGGUCUUGUUUAACACCUAGAUCAUCAACCAAUGUAAUUCUCUCAAGAGAACUACCGCAGAGGGUGUAAGAAGCCAGGAAGGGGCUGGAGCGAUAAAAAGUCAUUACAUGGCACUUCGAGGCAUUAAGUUGUAACAUAUUUGCACAGCACCAUGACUGAAAGCUAUUGAGAUCAGAUUGCAAGCGACUGUUAAAUGAAAUGUCCUUAUACUGGACACAUAGUUUAACAUCAUCCGCAUACAUAAGUACUCGAGAAUUUGUUAAUACAGAAGGCAGGUCAUUAAUAAAGAGUGUGAAAAGUAAGGGGCCUAAAUGGCUACCCUGUGGUACUCCAGAAGUAACCACCCACACCGAGAGCACUCUGCGGAAAUUCUCCCAGUGGCAUGCAAUGGCAGCAUGAAGUCAAGUCAUGGCUGAAGUACAUAGAACUCUACAAAGGACACGAGACGUACAAAAAAGACUUGGUAAGAAAAAUAUUGGGAAAAAUGGUCGAUCAUCUGAAUGCCUCUUCUAAAUUGUAUUUGCAGCAUAAUAUAUGCACAAAGUUAAUAGAUGUUGUGAUUGAUAUAUGUAGGCCAGUCAAAGCCUGAGGAAUUCAAUGUUCUCAACAUUGAAGAUGCUUGGAGCAAUAACAUUAUGUUUCAGUACAAUGAGAUAAUAUCUCAUUUAUCAAACAAAUAUUUCGUUGAUCUUCAACUACCAAAGUGGGGAACAAUAGCACAGGUAUCGAUUCCUGGCUGAUAUUCGCUAUCUUUCUUAGGAUUUAUAUUACCUCCUACUUUCAUCCCCCAGUUUGGAUAUUAAAACAACGAAAUUCGACUAUUUCGUUUGGUUUUAUCACUCGGAGCUCGUGAAGCAUAUACAAUUGCUGAAAUAUGCGAAACCUCCACCCACGCUGAAAAGUAUCCUCCACGAUCUGUACAGGUACAGGGGCUGGGGUAAGUAAUGCUCAUUAAAAUCGUUUUAAAAUACAUUUCAAAUAUGACUCGAAUCUAUACCUCAGGUUUCGCUUGCACCUUAUGGAUAAUGGGUUUUAAUGGAUCCUAAGGAGGCUAAUGGUUUCGAAGCACUCUUCAGUAAUGAAGAAAGUAGUUUUAAGAAAUAAAUGUACACCAAUCCCAGAUACCGUAAGCAUGUGGAAGUUAUUAUGCCAUGGCUGAAACAUCGUGGGUCUCUGGAAUAGACAAAAUAUUGUAAAUAUAUGUAAAUAGAAACUGGUAGAAGUUCUUUUAUACAAUGCACACCAUUUUAGAUAAGAGGAACACGAUGUUUUGUCAAUAGAAAUGCCAUAGAAGAGAUAAAAAAUUACCUGAACGGAAAAGAUCAUAUUAUCAACAAGACAUCUAUAGCCAUUUAUAUUUU